AAUUCAGCAGUGAAUUACUUACUAGUUAGAGAAGAUUCUUGAAUCUUGAUCAGAGGUGUAUGAACUUACAGGGGGGUGGAAUAGUAGAAGCUUCCACAACUUUUUCAACAGGUCCAUCGAGGAAAACACAAACAGAAAGGUACUUGCAUAGAAACUUGAUUCUCCCUCAAAGCACUGGACUGCUCAUGUCUCCAUUCCACCAAGCUAGAAGAAAGCUCGAAAGUUCUUAGAUCAGAAAAGGGACAGUCAAGUUCCAUGGAUCGGGAGUUGUUGAUACGUCUCUGAGAUGCAAGUGUGGAUAAGACCCCAAAUGAAGAGGGGGCUAGCCACCAUUAGGACUCUCCUCUUCUUACUAGUCCUCUUCAUUGCCGUCAUCAUAUACUCUUUAUGGAUCGAUGCUGUAAGUUCCAGAACCUCAACAAUACCUUUCAGCC
rnacentral:lncRNA from 1 species